CUGCCUUCCUCCCUCUCUAUCGCUCUCUCUCUCUCUCUGUUUCUAUGUCUCUCUCUCUUGCUAUGUAUCUGUCUGUCCUGUGACCGAGGGCAUUCUCUCAGGCACAAUGACAGGGAAACAGAAAAUUGCUGUGAUUUCAACAAGGGGAGCACUCAUUCCAAGCAAUGGCUAGCACCACUUUGCAGACAUGUCAAUCCCCAUGGUCUCCACGUAGAGCACCAGCUGCAGAUAUGUAUUCUACGGAGAGAGAGCAUGUCCAAAAUACCUCUGUUAAGCAGGAGUCAAGAACUGUCAACUGGGCGGUGUCUUUGUGAUGCUACGCAAGCUCACCGCUAAAACAUUGGCACACUGUCAACAGAACUGCAGCACGAACACAGCUGUUUUUCCUCCACCACUGAAGAGAAGCUGUAAACAAUGCCAAUGAUGAUCUCUGGAAUUCUAACAGAAAAUAUCAGUUGGUCCCUCUCCUCUCGGUGUUGUGCAACAUCCAUCGCUCUGGGCCGGCCUGCGUAGGGAGACAAGAGGGGCAUGGCGCAGUGCGGGGCCCUGACAGUUCUCCCGGUUCUGACCCUUUGCCUGCCCUGACACUGUACCCGCCUGCCUGACCAUUCAGCCUGCCCUGAUCUGCCUGCCUGCCGCCCUGUACCUUCUGGAAUCUGACCUGGUUUAUGACCUUCUGCCUGUCCUCGACUUGCCUCUUGCCUGCCCCUUGUUUUUCAAUAAAUAUCAGAAA